AGAAUCAACGCUGGCGGCGUGCCUAACACAUGCAAGUCGAACGAGAAAGUGGAGCAAUCCAUGAGUAAAGUGGCGCACGGGUGAGUAACACGUGACUAACCUACCUUUUAGUGGGGGAUAACCUAGGGAACCUGGGCUAAUACCGCAUAACACUUACGAGUCAAAGCAGCAAUGCGCUGAAAGAGGGGGCCGCGGCCGAUUAGCUAGUUGGCGGGGUAAUGGCCCACCAAGGCAGUGAUCGGUA
rnacentral:rRNA from 1 species